rnacentral:rRNA from 1 species
UAGGGAAUCUUCGGCAAUGGGGGCAACCCUGACCGAGCAACGCCGCGUGAGUGAAGAAGGUUUUCGGAUCGUAAAGCUCUGUUGUAAGAGAAGAACGUGUGUGAGAGUGGAAAGUUCACACAGUGACGGUAACUUACCAGAAAGGGACGGCUAACUACGUGCCAGCAGCCGCGGUAAUACGUAGGUCCCGAGCGUUGUCCGGAUUUAUUGGGCGUAAAGCGAGCGCAGGCGGUUUAAUAAGUCUGAAGUUAAAGGCAGUGGCUUAACCAUUGUUCGCUUUGGAAACUGUUAAACUUGAGUGCAGAAGGGGAGAGUGGAAUUCCAUGUGUAGCGGUGAAAUGCGUAGAUAUAUGGAGGAACACCGGUGGCGAAAGCGGCUCUCUGGUCUGUAACUGACGCUGAGGCUCGAAAGCGGGGGGAGCAAACAGGAUUAGAUACCCUGGUAGUCCACGCCGUAAACGAUGAGUGCUAGGUGUUAGGCCCUUUCCGGGGCUUAGUGCCGCAGCUAACGCAUUAAGCACUCCGCCUGGGGAGUACGACCGCAAGGUUG